rnacentral:lncRNA from 1 species
GAAACACCUGAGGAUAGAGCUCAGUUCCCACCUCCUGGGUGGGUGGUUGAGCACUGUGAUGGGGGGAAGUGGCUGACUGUGUGUCUCAUUGGCUGGCUGCUUCCUGAUGGGGCUGCAUCAAGUCUCCCAUUUCCACUUUGGCUAAGAGUUUGCUGAGGGCCACCAGUUUGCAACUUCUGCCUGAAAGGAAAGUAGAACUUGGCUGGAAGACAGAAUUAUGAAGAGACCAGAUAUAGACAUUGUUCACAAUAACAAAGACAGGGACCCAACUUAAAUGUGUAUCAAAAGAUGAAGGAAUAAAGAAAAUGUGAUACACAUACACAGAGGAGCACUAUUCAACCAUAAAAGCAGAAAUUCUUUCAUGUGCUGCAACAUG